GUGGGGAAUAUUGGACAAUGGGCGAAAGCCUGAUCCAGCCAUGCCGCGUGUGUGAAGAAGGUCUUCGGAUUGUAAAGCACUUUAAGUUGGGAGGAAGGGCAUUAACCUAAUACGUUAGUGUUUUGACGUUACCAACAGAAUAAGCACCGGCUAACUUCGUGCCAGCAGCCGCGGUAAUACGAAGGGUGCAAGCGUUAAUCGGAAUUACUGGGCGUAAAGCGCGCGUAGGUGGUUCAGCAAGUUGAAGGUGAAAUCCCCGGGCUCAACCUGGGAACUGCCUCCAAAACUACUGAGCUAGAGUACGGUAGAGGGUAGUGGAAUUUCCUGUGUAGCGGUGAAAUGCGUAGAUAUAGGAAGGAACACCAGUGGCGAAGGCGACUACCUGGACUGAUACUGACACUGAGGUGCGAAAGCGUGGGGAGCAAACAGGAUUAGAUACCCUUGUAGUCC
rnacentral:rRNA from 1 species